UCUCUCUCUCUGACACACACACACAUCCCUACAUGAUGAUGACGACAAUGAUGUCGCUAAUGAUGAUAAUAAAGCUAACUUUAAAAUAUGUGUGUGCUAUUGAAUCAUCUUUGUUCAUUCAGAACACACUUUGGUGAAGGUGAGGUGAGGAGGAGGAGAGAGUUCUACUCUUCAACAUCGAAAAAGACCCCCAGGAGAUCUACAACCUUGCAACCUCAACCCGACCAAAGUGGACGAGAUGAAGAAAUUUCUUCGCCAAAAGAAAAAGCUCCUGUGCCUCUUUGUUGAAGCCGAGAAGGCAACAACCGAUGCCUUUGUCAGGUACAACGAGACGUUUGGUUAUGAGGGAUCCGGAUGGUGUUAAAUGUUUGAAGUGCCGAGGGACCUGGAUGACGCUUAAUCUGAUGUUUCUGGUCACCAGUCACAAUCAACACAAACAUCUAACGCAGCAAUGGGACUACCUUCCUUUCCCUCUUGUAUGAAAAAAGCGGAUCAAAGUCUGAACGCAUUUCCUGGCAUCUUGUGUUGUCCCUUGCACCAACUCAUUAGAGGCAUCAUCAUUAUUUUCCUGGUCUGCAAGACUGCCACUGUCAUCAGUAAAAGAAAGACAUUCAAUAAGUAUUCAGUAUUUGCAUGACACUAGCAAAAUAAAGAAUAAAUUUCAGUUUGAAAAUGACAGAAAAAGAAAUGGAGCAUUACUCAGUUGACAGUCUCUCGAUGUUGAAAAGUACUUCAAGGAAAGAUAAAUAUCCUUCACUGAAAGAAAAUGUGCAUUAGGGUAGGUUGAGGAAAGCUUCGUUAUUACAUGUGGACAAUAGCUGUGGUCAAUGUGUUAAGUACAUACAUGAUCUGCUUCUCAGCAAACUGUAUGCUGCUUUACAAAAUUCAGCAACUCCCCUCCUUGGCUCAAACCCCUCCUUCUCCCGACUCCACCAUAGUCAUCAUUGCUAUUUUCUUGUCUGAAUGCAAUGGCCUUGCACCUUUACACUCUGGAGGCACAUCAAAGACAUGGCUCCGUUAUGCCUAAUUGAAUGUCAGUAUAUUCAGCUAUGGUCAUAGAAAUAUAUGUUACAAAACAGAAAUUAAAGACAAAAAGUCAUCAUUGAAAAAUGUGCUUUAAAUGUGUGUACCUGUAAUCAUACAACCAACCAGUGAGCACACAUUUACUAAAACACUUUAAACAUUGCGCUAUGAAGAAUUAAAUAUAAAAGAACCUAUAUUUACUUCCAAUCAAAACGGCAAUAUAUAUAAGGCACUAUUGUAAUGAUUCACGGUUCAAAUCCUAACUUUGUAUCAGUCAUUCAAGCACAAGCAGAAUUGUAUGCUCAAAGCAUAAGAUGAGAGAGGUAUCUUGGGGAACUGUGACACGGAGAUGGCAGACGGUCACUGGAAUCUGCCAAGAACAAUUUCUGGGAGUGAUUCAGCUGAAAUCUGUGUAUGUGCUGAAUCACCAUCUUUGGUUCAAACUUUUAUGAAUAAGGAAAAAAAAUUUAAGCCAAUAAUUUUUAGUACAUGAUUUAAUUAUCAACUUCAGACUUCAAAAUAGGUACUUGAGAAAUAUGAAUGCACUGAUUUCUCGCGAUUGAUUAGGUGUUGAAAUGCUGUACAUGUUUUUAUCCCUUUGGAGAAUAUUCAAUGACUGGAGAAUCUCAGUUGCAGCUUCUAAGGUCAAGUUAUUUUUACAGCCUCUGCUCUUUCUUCUUCCUCCGACCUCCUGACUUCAUUUCGAGCAGGCAUUUGUGCAUUUCUCUUUACCGUUCCAGGAAUUAGGACGAAAUCUCUCAUGAACACGUUUGUCCAUUCAGCCAUCAUCAGACACCAGAUAAUUACAAUUUUCCCAUAAACCCAUAUUCGCAAGAAACAUCUACAGGUUCAAGCCACAGGCUCAAAUUAUUAAUGUUCAUUAACACCCGUAGCUAUUGUUAGCGCUCAUUUUAUUGUAAUAAAAAGCAUUUAGAGGAA